rnacentral:rRNA from 1 species
UACGUAGGGCGCAAGCGUUGUCCGGAAUUAUUGGACGUAAAGAGCUCGUAGGCGGUUUGUCACGUCGGGUGUGAAAGCCCGGGGCUUAACCCCGGGUCUGCAUUCGAUACGGGCAGACUGGAGUGUGGUAGGGGAGAUCGGAAUUCCUGGUGUAGCGGUGAAAUGCGCAGAUAUCAGGAGGAAUACCGGAGGCGAAGGCGGAUAGCUGGGCCAACACUGACGCUGAGACCCGAAAGCGUGGGGAUCAAACAGG